UCUCAAUCAUCCGGUAGGACCAGGCCUGUUGCUCUAUAACAAUAAAAUUCUCGUGGCAAAUAUACCAUAACGGUGGAGCUAAAAUAGAGUGGAAUGCUUUUUUUUUUCAAAAUAUACUCGUUGAAUUACAUUAUGACCAGUAUAUUAAAAUUAUUAAAUUAUAACAGUUAAAAUUAAUGUUUGCUAAGAAUACUAUACCAGGUCUAGAUGGCCACCUAAUGAUGCCUUUAAAUCUUCGAUGGUUACCGGGGAAAGACGGGAGGAUUGCUUUUUAACGGCCUGUCGGAAGAAUUUAUUGAGAGAAUUUAAG